rnacentral:rRNA from 1 species
CUCCUACGGGAGGCAGCAGUGGGGAAUUUUGGACAAUGGGGGCAACCCUGAUCCAGCAAUGCCGCGUGUGUGAAGAAGGCCUUCGGGUUGUAAAGCACUUUCGGCCGGAACGAAAUCGCACGCGUGAAUACCGCGUGUGGAUGACGGUACCGGAAGAAGAAGCACCGGCUAACUACGUGCCAGCAGCCGCGGUAACACGUAGGGUGCGAGCGUUAAUCGGAAUUACUGGGCGUAAAGGGUGCGCAGGCGGUUUCGCAAGUCAGGUGUGAAAACCCCGGGCUCAACCUGGGAAUGGCAUUGGAAACUAGCGGGCUAGAGUUUGGCAGAGGGAGGUGGAAUUCCACGUGUAGCGGUGAAAUGCGUAGAUAUGUGGAGGAACACCGAUGGCGAAGGCAGCCUCCUGGGCCGACACUGACGCUCAUGCACGAAAGCGUGGGGAGCAAACAGGAUUAGAUACCCUGGUAGUCCACGCCCUAAACGAUGUCUACUAGUUGUUGGGGGAGUUAAAUCCCUUAGUAACGCAGCUAACGCGCGAAGUAGACCGCCUGGGGAGUACGGUCGCAAGAUUAAAACUCAAAGGAAUUGACGG